GGCAGCCAUUUUAGAUUCAGGGCUGCCUAUGUAAGCAGGGCAGCUCUGCUGCUAGAGGUGAGGCAACAACAUUGCCUGGUUGCUAAUAUCAUCUGGAGGUCAGGGAGGAGCUGUGGAGGAUGUUCCAGAAGACCUUAAGACUACACUGACUCCAAUUUUGGAAUCUUGAGGAAAGUGGAGCAGAAAUCAUGGGAGCACUGUUCACUUCUGCAGGGUGAUGUGAACAUGACAAUGAAGCUUUGGUUACUUUGAGCCUCCAUAUUUGUGUGUGUAAAUGCUUUGGGUAAAGAGCAAAACUUAGGCCAGGUACAGACAUUAUAUAUAUUUUUUCUGGUUUAGGUGGUCGGAAAUAGGUCUAUACCCAUAUGAGAACAGAAGUUUGCAGCACAUAGCCUGGGGUCUACCAUUUAAAAAUCAGUCUAAAAUAGAUCUGGAUUGAAGUGGUAUCAGAUUUAAUUGAUCUGGGUUACCCCGGUGAAUUGAACUUCAGUACCAUGUGCAUUAGCAAAUCAAAGUAGGUCACUGUCUGCUGGCACCCCAGGCACCUUUGCAAGUUCCUGCUAGCUGCCCCUCACAGGGAGCCAGCACGGGCUGCAGAUGCCUGUCACUGACACUGAUUGCUGCCAAGGUGGGGGGAAGUGGGGCUUAGUUAUGCCCAGCUCCCUAACACUGCAUUGGAUCAUAAGGGAUAUGGGGGUCCCUGGAUGGGUGUGUAGGAGUCCACUGAGACACCCCCAUUUCCCCCAUGAACAUGCACAGUAACAGGGAGCCCCCACAGGCUACAGAUGCCUGUCACUGACUGCUGACAGUGAAGGGGACAAAGGGGGGCUCAGCCAUGCCUGGAUCUCUGGCACUGCACUAUCUUGCAGGGGGAUGUGGGGGUUCCUAGGUGGGUAUGCAGGGAUCCACUGAGAAACCUCUAUGUCCCCCUCAAGCCAGCACAGUAACAGGGAGCAGGUCAGGCUGGAGAUGCCUGUCACUGACUUGGCAGUACUCAGCAAUCUCUGGCAGUCCAGGAAGGCCAUGGGUCAUGUUGGUAGAUGCGCUCAAGAGCCCUCAACCUGCUGGCCUCAGCCAGUGCAGGCAGCCUGUGUGCCACCUCCCCACCCAAUGGAUGAACUUCUGUUCUGUUUGCUCCCAACCUAAACUAGGACUCUUACAGAGUCCCGUGUAGGUUUGAGCAAUUCAAUUUUAAGACUUUUUCAAUGUCUGUACCAAGAGUUUCUAAUAAAUAUGGGCAAAGAACAAAUAAAACUAACCUAAUAUAUGGUGCUCCUUUUCUGUUUAACCAACUUCCCUAUCUAUGGUAUCCAAGU